rnacentral:ncRNA from 1 species
CUCUUAUCAAGAGAGGUGGAGGGAUAGGCCCGAUGAAACCCGGCAACCAGCAUUUUAUGCCAAGGUGCCAAUUCCUGCGGAUAAUUGCCGCGAGAUGAGGG